GACGAACGUUGGCGGCGUGCUUAAUACAUGCAAGUCAACUGAAGCAGUGGUAGCAAUAUCGCUGUGGAGGUGGCGCACGGGUGAGUAACACGUAGGUAAUCUGCCUUCAGGUCUGGCAUAACUCCGGGAAACCGGGGCUAAUAGCAGAUGAUGCAGCGGCUCGACAUCGAGACAGUUGUUAAAGCUAUGGCGCCUGAAGAUGAGCCUGCGUCUGAUUAGCUAGUUGGCGGGGUAACGGCCCACCAAGGCAACGAUCAGUAGCUGGUCUGAGAGGAUGAUCAGCCACACUGGAACUGAGACACGGUCCAGACUCCUACGGGAGGCAGCAGUAGGGAAUCUUCCGCAAUGGGCGAAAGCCUGACGGAGCAACGCCGCGUGAGUGAUGAAGGUCUUCGGAUCGUAAAACUCUGUUAUUAGGGAAGAACAAAUGUGUAAGUAACUAUGCACGUCUUGACGGUACCUAAUCAGAAAGCCACGGCUAACUACGUG
rnacentral:rRNA from 1 species